rnacentral:lncRNA from 1 species
CUCCUGCUGGUUGGCUUCACCGUUGGCCGCGGGUAGAGCCGUGAAUGGUGAAAGAAGAAGCUGCAAACAAUGACAGCAGUACUGUGAGGUCUUUGCAGUGUGUGAUUCUUGUUAUUGGUAGGUGGGGAAAGAAGAAAGGAAAGCAAGUUUGAGAGAGAAGAGAGAAGAAGAAAGAAGAAGGGAAGGAGGUGUCGUGUGAGAGAAAAAUAAAGAAGAAGGAAAGGAAGUAUGAGAGAGAAGAAGAAAGAAGAAGGGACUUUUCACUUCCCACUGCACACCACUGUCAGCCAAAUUUGAAACAUAUAUUUUAAUUUAUUUUUUAAUUUCAUAAAAUAAAU